rnacentral:lncRNA from 1 species
AAGGACUCACGGAAGAUAUCACAACACAACUCGAGAUACAAAUUAAAAUAAUGCAAGCUUUAUAUUACAAGCCAGGGGCCUCGGGGCUCGAAUACAUCAGCUUGAAUACAAACUAGUAAGCGGAAGCAACAAUAUCUGAGUAUAGACAUAAGUUAAACAAGUUUGCCUUAAGAAGGCCAGCACAAAAGUAUCUACGAUCGAAAAGGCAAGGCCUCCUGUCUGGGAGCCUCCUAACUACUUCUGGCCGCCGGCGUCCGUCACGUAGCAGUAGGCACCCUCGGGGUAGUAGUAGUAGUAGUAGUAGUCGUCGGUGGGGGCAGCGGUCUCAAGGGCUCCGUCAUCUGGUUGCAUCAAACGAAUAUGGGGGGGGGGAGAAAGCAAAGCAAACGUGAGUACUCAUCUGAAGUACUCAGCAAGCAAGGCUGUAUAUGUGGACUGGGCUGCAAAAUGCCAAAAUAGAGGGGAGAGCCUAGUCCUAUCGAAGACUAGCAUCUUCAGCGGUCUUUGCAGCUUUAGAAGGGUGCAAACUAGCAUAAAGUAAAGUAGUAGUAGUGUCAUCAACCUCGCCCAGAGAUCCUUCCUCGACUCCCUGUGAGAAAUCAAUCCAAGAGCCAUACUAUCCAUUUCUCAUCUCAAGUAUCCAGUUCUAGUUGUAUCGAUCGGGAUACAACUCUGAGUGUCCAUUACCGUAGGACAGGCUAUCGAUAUAUGUUUUCUUCCCUACAGGGGUGCACCAACUUACCCACCAUGCUCGAUUAACUCUGUCCGGACUCACUUUACUAGGUCAUGCCCGGCCUUGGCCAAACAAUACACCGCAACCCAACCUAGGCUUAAUAGAGAGGUCAGCACGCCGGACUAAACCUAUGCCCUCAGGGGUCUUGGGCCAUCGCCCCGGGAACUCCUGCACGUUGCGUGGGCGGGCGGUGAGCAGACCUAGCUACCUCCUUAAAAAGGCAGGUGCUUACGCAGUCCAACCCGGCGCAUGCCGCUCAGUCGCAUAACGUCUAUUGAGCUUCGGCUGAUGCAUACGACGCAAAACACUCAUACCAUGCCCACGUGAUGGUUAGUGCUAUCAGGCCAGAGGCCUCUCGGAUCAAAUAUCCAAAUCAUAGUGGAUUAGGAACGCGCGGUAACGAGCAGAGACUCACGAUCGAUGUGACCAUGUCUCCCCGCCUCGAGGACUUGCGGGAAGGGCUAAGAAUGCUCGGCCACGCCUCAUAAUUAUCUCGCGGGCACCCUCCAGGUCAACCCGACUCCACAUCACUCGCAAUUAAGCUUGCGCGGGUAUCCCCUGGGGCCGACCCGUCUUUAGUAACAUGGUUCAGUGUAAAGUCAUAGUAACCAUAGUAACCGUGUGUCUAACACCAAGGGGGAAACCUGAGGAAUCACCCUCGACGGAUUCCAAAUGAUGUAACCAUCAAGGUGGACUUGGAGGAAUCACCCUCGUAGGUCCACACUUGAGGGGUUGCACGACAGAGUCAUUAUCGGGAGUGGUCAAGGAGGAAUCACCCUCGAUGAUCAUGACCGAAUAGCUACACUACAAGGUUAACAUCAGAAGUGCUGAUGAGGUAUCACCCUCGGCACUCGAUAGUAACUUUGUAGAGUUGUACAACUAAGGGGGGUGAUGUGCAGUGUCGGGGCCUAGACGUCGAUCAUGUUGAUCGAGUCAUCGAACAUGAAGCGGGGAAACUGGGACAAGAUGGGGGGUCACUGAUGGAUGUCUAACCAGCCUAUACUAAGCAGUUUAGAAUAAGCAGGUAGGUAACAAUAAGAAGGUUACAAAAGCAGGUUAUGCAUCAGAAUAGAAGCAAACAAUAACAGUAGCAAAAUCUAAUGCAAGCAUGAGAGAAUUGAAUGGGCGAUAUUGGGAUGAUCAAAGGGGGGCUUGCUUGGAAGCUCAGCAGACAGAUACGGAUCUUCAACGAUGAAGUAGUCGAUCACUGGUUCAACCGCGGUCUCGGAGUCUACCGGAAAGAAGAGGGGGAAGAAACAAUAAAUAUAAAGCAAACAUAGGAUCACAAAGCAUAACAUGACAAUAUGUUAUGCCGGGUGUGACCUAACGUAUAGCUACACGAUAUAAGUAAAGGGGGAAUUCAAUCGGGAAUAUUUUUCCGGUUCCGGACCUGUGUCAGACAGAUGACCGGAGGGAGAAUGUUCCAAGUUCAGCUAGUUAGAGGCAUCUGGCAGGUAAACGGACCAUGUAUUCAGAUCCGUCAUGUUUUUCUGAGCAAUUUUCAUAUAUAAAUUAUUUUCAUCUGAGCUACGGAUGAAUUACUAUGAAUUUCCGAAGUUUAAGCAAUAUCUGGUAACUCUGAAAUUCUACUAAGUCUGAGAAUUGCUUAUUUUUAAACAUCACUUAGCUGUUAUCCGGAGGCUAAAGCUAUUGUUCUGUAUGUCCUAUGAUUUUGUGCCUUAUAUCAGAUGUGAGCAUUUUUCUGUGAUCUACCUGUUAGUAACACUUUUCUCCAUAUUAGAGUUCAAUUGCUUGAACAUCAACAACUCUAAAGUAGCUAUGGAUAUAAAGCUGUUUUUCAGUUUUCAACUAACAAAACUUAGCAUUUUGUGAAUUUCAUAGGAUUUAAUCCGCGCAUCAAAUGGAUUUAGUCCAGUGGGAUAAAAUGAGGUUUGUCAAGUGUACUUCCUGCCCACAUGAAUUUUACUCAUAUUAACUUUUGUUUAGUUUCUGUUCAAGGGCUGUCAAGAGGGCUAAUCAGUGUAUUAGUUUCAAAGCUGGCUACUGCUACAGUAAUUGAAUGUUACUGUAGUAGAGGAGCAGCAGCAGAGUGCAUCGGGCAGAGCAGUAGCUGGGAGCGGCAGCGGCGAGGCCGGCCGAAGGUGGGUGCGGCCACACACUCAACGCGCGCGCGCGCCCACACACACACUGCACGCACACACGACACCCACGCACAACACGCACACACACAUGCAUGGCGGCUCGGCCAUGGCCACAGCGAUGGCCAACAGUAGUAGCAGCCGGUGGCAACGACUAGCGGCAGUGCAGCAAGGGUAGCAACAAGCAGCAGCUAACGACAGUCGAGCAGCGGCAAUACGAGAAGCAGCAGCAGCGCAACAGCAGCUGAGCAGCGCGCACGUACGCGUACGCUUAGGCGAGAGGCGCUCGAGGACAGCGGCUACAGGCGCGGAAAAAGGCAGGGGAGAGAGAGGUUCGGGCAAGAGCUCACCGGGAGGCACACGGUGGCCGUUGGGAGGCUUAGGUGCUGCAGGCUUCGCCGGAAUCGACGCCGACGCCGGCGACCGAAGAGGAAGAAGACGACGGCGAUCUCGCGAUGCAGAGCUGAGGAGCUCCAACGGGCGGCACCAGUCGAUGUAGAGGGCGACGGUGGAGCUCGUAGAUGUGUCGACGAGGUGCGGGGACGGCGGUGGUUGCGGCGGGGCGAAGUGGCCGGCGACGAGUGCGUCGUGGAGGUGGAGGGAAAGGGGAUCUGGAGAGAGCCCAGAGGGGAGUGGGGUGACAGAGGAGAGAGUGAGGCGCGGGGGAGAUGACCGAGGCGCCCCGGGCCUUAUCCUCUCGCGGCGAUGGCGAGGAGGUG